rnacentral:rRNA from 1 species
ACGAACGCUGGCGGCAGGCCUAACACAUGCAAGUCGAGCGCGCCUUCGGGUGAGCGGCGGACGGGUUAGUAACGCGUGGGAGCGUACCCUUCUCUACGGAAUAGCCUUUGGAAACGAAGAGUAAUACCGUAUACGCCCUUUGGGGGAAAGAUUUAUCGGAGAAGGAUCGGCCCGCGUUAGAUUAGAUAGUUGGUGGGGUAACGGCCUACCAAGUCUACGAUCUAUAGCUGGUUUUAGAGGAUGAUCAGCAACACUGGGACUGAGACACGGCCCAGACUCCUACGGGAGGCAGCAGUGGGGAAUCUUAGACAAUGGGCGCAAGCCUGAUCUAGCCAUGCCGCGUGAGUGAUGAAGGCCUUAGGGUCGUAAAGCUCUUUCGCCUGUGAUGAUAAUGACAGUAGCAGGUAAAGAAACCCCGGCUAACUCCGUGCCAGCAGCCGCGGUAAUACGGAGGGGGUUAGCGUUGUUCGGAAUUACUGGGCGUAAAGCGCACGUAGGCGGAUUGGAAAGUUGGGGGUGAAAUCCCGGGGCUCAACCCCGGAACUGCCUCCAAAACUAUCAGUCUAGAGUUCGAGAGAGGUGAGUGGAAUUCCAAGUGUAGAGGUGAAAUUCGUAGAUAUUUGGAGGAACACCAGUGGCGAAGGCGGCUCACUGGCUCGAUACUGACGCUGAGGUGCGAAAGUGUGGGGAGCAAACAGGAUUAGAUACCCUGGUAGUCCACACCGUAAACGAUGAAUGCCAGUCGUCGGGCAGUAUACUGUUCGGUGACACACCUAACGGAUUAAGCAUUCCGCCUGGGGAGUACGGUCGCAAGAUUAAAACUCAAAUGAAUUGACGGGGACCCGCACAAGUAGUGGAGCAUGUGGUUUAAUUCGAAGAUACGCGCAGAACCUUACCAACACUUGACAUGUUCGUCGCGACUUUAAGAGAUUAAAGUUUUCGGUUCGGCCGGACGAAACACAGGUGCUGCAUGGCUGUCGUCAGCUCGUGUCGUGAGAUGUUGGGUUAAGUCCCGCAACGAGCGCAACCCUCACUUUUAGUUGCCAUCAUUAAGUUGGGCACUCUGAAAGAACUGCCAGUGAUAAGCUGGAGGAAGGUGGGGAUGACGUCAAGUCCUCAUGGCCCUUACGUGUUGGGCUACACACGUGCUACAAUGGCAUCUACAACAGGAAGCAAAACGGCGACGUUAAGCAAAUCCUUAAAAGAUGCCUCAGUUCGGAUUGCACUCUGCAACUCGAGUGCAUGAAGCUGGAAUUACUAGUAAUCGUGGAUCAGCGUGCCACGGUGAAUGCGUUCCCGGGUCUUGCACACACCGC